CUUGUACAACUAUGGAGCGUAUGUCCACAUAUAAUUGUACAAUUUGUUUUUCCAACAUAAAGACAAGAAAUGUUCACAUUGGUAUUUUAACGGUGUUAUUGUAAGAGUUUAAAUGUUUAAACAGAGGAUACAUCUAAAACAGGAUAAAACAAGUGCAGUAUGUUGUGAGAAUGUUACUUUAACGUCGACUCAUAACGUCACACUAUAACUUCAUGGGAGUCUUGUGGAAAGACUGCAUGUUGUUUUGGGUGGAUUGAGUGACGUCUUCAUCAACAUUUUGCAGAAUAUUCCGGUAAUAUUUUCACCUCUUGUCGGCUGCAGACAUUCAUAAGGAGUUCCAGUAGUUUACUUGCCAUUUGCAGGUAUUAAAAGUAAUACAUAUAUUGUAAUUCCUUGUUGGAUCUCUCUCACAUAAAGGACAGUACAUACCAGAGGAGGCUGCUGAGGGGAGGACGGCUCAUAAUAAUGUCUGGAACAGAGUGAAUGAAAUGGAACACAUGGAAACCACGUGUUUGAUACCAUUCCACUCAUUCCACUCCAGCCAUUACAAGCCUGUCCUCCCUAAAUAAGGUCCCACCAACCUCCUGUGGUACAAACACAAACAGUAAAAUAUAUCAUAAAAAAUGAACCCAAAAGGUUCAGUCAUGUUGUAAUAGUCUGAUGACAUCAGUUUAGGUUUAUGAUUUAACAGGCAGAUAGAACUGGGAUAGAAGCUGUUCUAGAACCUGUGGUCCAGAAACUGAUUUAACAGGCAGAUAGAACUGGGAUAGAAGCUGUUCUAGAACCUGUGGUCCAGAAACUGAUUUAACAGGCAGAUAGAACUGGGAUAGAAGCUGUUCUAGAACCUGUGGUCCAGAAACUGAUUUAACAGGCAGAUAGAACUGGGAUAGAAGCUGUUCUAGAACCUGUGGUCCAGAAACUGAUUUAACAGGCAGAUAGAACUGGGAUAGAAGCUGUUCUAGAACCUGUGGUCCAGAAACUGAUUUAACAGACAGAUAGAACUGGGAUAGAAGCUGUUCUAGAACCUGUGGUCCAGAAACUGAUUUAACAUGUGUGAGUGUCCAGUGUGUGUGUGUGUGUGUGUGUGUGUGUGUGUGUGUGUGUGUGUGUGUGUGUGUGUGUGUGUGUGUGUGUGUUUGUGUGUGUAUCCAGUGUGUGUGUGUGUGUGUGUUUGUGUGUGUAUCCAGUGUGUGUGUGUGUGUGUGUAUCCAGUGUGUGGAUCCAGUGUGUGUGUGUGUGUGAGUGUGUGUAUCCAUUGUGUUUGUGUGUGUGUAUCCAGUGUGUGUGUGUGUGUGUGUGUGUGUAUCCAAUGAGUGUGUGUGUGUCCAGUGAGUGUGUGUGUCCAGUGUGUUUCUGUGUGUGAAUCCA
rnacentral:lncRNA from 1 species